rnacentral:rRNA from 1 species
UACGAAGGGGGCUAGCGUUGCUCGGAAUCACUGGGCGUAAAGCGCACGCAGGCGGUUCUUUAAGUCCGGGGUGAAAUCCCAAGGCUCAACCUUGGAACUGCCUUUGAUACUGGGGAUCUCGAGUCCGGAAGAGGUGAGUGGAACUGCGAGUGUAGAGGUGAAAUUCGUAGAUAUUCGCAAGAACACCAGUGGCGAAGGCGGCUCACUGGUCCGGUACUGACGCUGAGGUGCGAAAGCGUGGGGAGCGAACAGG